rnacentral:rRNA from 1 species
AUGGUUCAGAAGCACAAAUACAAGGUUCAGCGUGACUGCCGCGUCACCGACACCGUCGACUUCGUCUUCAGAGACGCCACAGCAGUCUUCCAAGAUUGUCUCCUCCUGUCCCGAGCCUCGCUCCCGGGCCAGAAGAACACCAUCACGGUGCAGGGACGCUUCAACGGCUCAUUCAACAACAGCUUCUCCUUCCAGUUUUGCAACAUCUCCGUGCAGGACGACCUCGUACAUGCGCAUGCUAACCAGACCGUCAAAGCCGCCGCGACGCAGACCUUCCUGAGCCGGCCAUGGAAGGCAUACUCAUGGGUGGUGUUCAUGGAGGUGGAGUCCUACAUCAGCGGCUUGGUGCGACCCGAGGAGUGGCUCGUGUGGGACAAAAACCAGACCACGCUCAGCAUGCUCUACUACAGGGAGUACAUGAACACAGGCUCCAGCGCGGGAGUAGGUGGCAGGUUGAGGUGGCCGGGCUACCACGUGAAUAUGAGCCAGGCCAAGGCCAGGAACUUCACCGUGGCGCAGUUCAUCGACAACAAUAUGUUGCUACCGGCCACAAGCGUCGGGUUCACAUAUGGACUGCUCGCGUCUUGA